GGGCCUUUCAGAUCUCAUUUGGAGUUCUGAUCACAGAGUUGCCCUGUCCCCUUUGCUCCCCUGUAGGUAUUACUUGAUCUAUGACUAUGGAGAGCGACAGGGUCUCCUCAGUGCUUACCACAAUGAAGCCUGCUUCUCCCUGACCAUUCCCCUCAACGCUAUGGACCUAGACACGUGAGUAUUAUAGCUCAGACUCUGGUCUCGGCCUGUGACUUCCCAGCAGACAUGGGACAGCUUCUGGAAACACACGUGCAGACUGGAGCACCUCUUGUUUCUUUUAUUUUUCUCCCCUAGGAGCAACUUGUGUGAGUAUUUCAAGUAUAGCAGGAAUUUGAAGACGCUCAAAGAACCAGGUACGGGUGUGAGGGGGAAGACUGUACAGAGGAAGGUCAUGUGAGGGGGACAGUCAUAGGAGCCAAGGGACCGGAUGUGGCAGUGUGCUGAUCUUCCCCUCUGCUCUUUUCUACAGACUUGCGGAGACAGCUGCUGAAGUACACGAAGCGAGACAUUGUAGAUUGCCUCUGUGUGUUGCCCAAAACUCGGCAUGACUGCGAUACCUUUGUGGUGGACAUGUGGCUCCAGACGGUAAACACCUGCUUCCUCCCUGGGGCACGGUCGGAAAGCUGGAGACAGUAGGAAGUUAAGCAGGACCCUGAGCUCCUGUUUUCUCCCCUUUCAGGAAAAGAUGCUUUGCUUUUCUGUGAAUGGAGUGUUCAAGGAAAUACAGGGAACGUCUCAGGGUUGUGUUCAUGCCUUCACCCGGACAUUCAUCGCUACUCCUGGCAGCAGCACCCGGUAAGUGCUGUGUUGUAGAGGGGAGCACUCAUCUCAGCCUGGGGCCAGUGGCACAGGAAUGUGGUGGUGCUGAGCUCGGGGUAGUCUCAAUGUGAAAGGUCAACACAUAGAUCCAAGGAGCAGUCUAGCCUAAGGUGUUAAGAGUAAUGGCUCUAGAAUUGGAAUGCCACUUCAGUUCCUG
rnacentral:lncRNA from 1 species